ACCACCCACGGGCACCGAGCUGCUCUUCCCCCUUUCUCACGAUCAAACCUCUGGGCCUGUCCCUCCAGCACAGCGUGCAAAGCGCUCACCCAGGUGACUGAAGGGGAAGGGUCAGCCGGGAGGAAACGAGAGCGGCUGAGUGGGCGCAGCCGCCCCUACCGGGGCGCGGGUCUCCCGGCCUCUCGCACAGGCGCCUGGCGGAGAGUUGUGCAGAUUCAGAUUCCGAGGUGCGCGCGCGCGCGCGCGCCGGGCGCGGUGCAGCUCGGACUCGCCCCCGCCGGGUUGCGCUAUCAGCACGCCACCAAAUCGGAAAUUAAAAACUUUGACCGGCCUCCCGGUGUACUGCUCCGUGCCCUGGACCCGCGUCCUAGCCAGAAAUGGGGUAGGGGCUGUCAAGAGUCUUGCACCCCCCAACUCCCCUCCCCGAAUUCCGGGCGCCGGAGCCACUUACCGCUCGGCCCGGCCUCCCGGUGCCGCCGCGCGUCCGGGCGCGUCCGCCGCGCGCUCUCCUUGGGGGGAAAAAAGAGAGAGAAACCGUGUAGACGGUCGGCGCGCGCUCACUCGCCGCCUCCUCUGCGGAUAACCGCAGGCUGCGAGGCCGGGUCGGGCGCCGCGCGGAGGGGGGGGGUGGGGAUCGGGGAGGUGGAGGCGCAAUCAGCCCAACUCCCGAGCCUUGAUCAGAAGGGGACCCGGAAUGCAGGCUGGAGAAAAGCCGGCGGGGGACUGCGCUCUNNNNNNNGGGGGGGGGGGGUGGUGCCGGAGGCGCACCCCCCAAGUCCCUGGGCAUCAACUAUUGUUUGGGCGCUUGGGGCCCCGCUCGCGCCGCCUCCGAGGUCCAGCGCCCCCCAUCCCGCCCGCCUACCCCCCAAAAAAGAAACAGCCGAGGGGGCGGCCGGCGCGGAAAGGGACGCGUGUGAGGAGCAUGUCCCCCAGUGGGCACACCAAGCAGGACAGCUGGAUCAUAAAGUCAUCUAGCCUUUACCGAAGAGCAAAGAGGUAAGAAAGAGCAACACUGCUAGCUCAUAUGUACCCAGGACCUUAAAACAGCUUUAUUUUCUUGGACUCCAAAAUCACUGCAGAUGAUGACUGCAGCCAU
rnacentral:lncRNA from 1 species